rnacentral:rRNA from 1 species
GAUGAACGCUGGCGGCGUGCCUAAUACAUGCAAGUCGAGCGAACGGACCAGAAGGUUGCUUCGCUGAUGUUAGCGGCGGACGGGUGAGUAACACGUGGAUAACCUCCCUAUAAGACUGGGAUAAAUUCGGGAAACCGGAGCAAAUACCGGAUAAUAUUUUGAAUCGCAUGGUUCAAAAGUGAAAGACGGUCUUGCUGUCACUUAUAGAUGGAUCCGCGCUGCAUUAGAUAGUUGGUAAGGUAACGGCUUACCAAGGCAACGAUGCAUAGCCGACCUGAGAGGGUGAUAGCCGGCGCGAGAGCUGGGACAGGGACAAGGGUACUGAGAGAGGCAGCAGUAGCGUAUCGGCCGCAAUGGUGGAAAGCCUGACGGAGUGGCGGCGCGCCUGUGGUGAAGGUGUUGGGUGCGUGAUACCGGGUUUUGAGGGAUGAACAUAUGUGUAAGUAAAUGUGGCGAUCUUGACGGUACCUAAUCAGAAAGCCACGGCUAACUACGUG